rnacentral:lncRNA from 1 species
UAGUUCAUCAAAUUCUUGUGUUUGUGGCAUACAAAUAAGUUCUCCAUUCACUGCUCAGAGUCUUUUGUCAUCAAUCACUGGACCGCAGCAUCAGAUUUCCCAGUCCCUAAGGGGAGUGCUGUAUUAAAUGAAGCGAAUGAAACAGAAACGAGUACUUAAAAGUAGAGACAAUUUCCUCAAAGUCUUGAACAGGUCAUGAAUACAGAUUGGUUUCUUGAUAAUUUACACCGGUGAACACGUCAACAGAUGGAUUGCUUUUUCAAUCCAAUCAAAAACGCUUAACGUACGCUUACAUGAAUUACAAAAACAAUUCUACGCAAAACUAAACUUGGGGCAAAAAAAUAAAAAAGAAAGGAGGAGGAUCAGAGAAAGGAAUACACAAGAAAUUAAGAUUGGGACGAUCAUUCUCAGAUUUACCAGCUUUUUCUAUGAGCAUGAAGCCCAGUUGGUUUUUCUGCUGGUUCACUUAGCACACUCUUAGGAGAAGACGAUCCAGAACUUUUUGGAGAUGCCACUUUGUCAUUCACCAUAUUCUUUUCGCUUAAUCUUCUUACAUAAUCUUUCUUGGUCUUCUUUGUUUCCUCCGAAGUUGAGCUCCUUUGUUUAAUCAUAGGUACUAAAUACCAUCCAAGGGAUGUGCAUAGUAUCGCAAAUGAUCUUCCAUACAUGACCAAGAGCAGUAGAAUCAAGGCCAUCAUAACCGGCAUGUACCAACAAGGGCGCCUCAAAUUUUUCAACUUUAAGCUCCAUCUAAUGCUCUUCUUUACAGGUCUUUGGCUGGAUUCCUCUUUCUGUUGUUGUCGAACUUCUUUAACAAAGGUUGAGGUCUCAAUUGCAUGUUUAUCUUCUGAUGGUAAUGAUUUCAUGCGUGACAUCUGUUUUUCUUUAACAUUGCCAACAUGAUUGUUACCAUUUCCUUGCUUCCUGUCCCUGGCCUUCACAACAAUCGGUUUCCAAUUGUUGGAAUUUGAAUAUACAAAACGAACAAAGGAGAUGUCUUCUGAGCCUUUUUGUGUGUAAAUCUUCUGCUUCUUGUCUUCAAGUUCAGCCAAAACUGCAGAGAACUUCUCAAGACCUCGAUUUGCAUAAGGGUUCUUGCUAUCUCUACUUCUACUGGAAUAACUCGUCUUUCUUGAUCUCUUUGGCGUUGAGCACGGGCCAAGAAGUUCAUCGAUAUCAUCUUCAUCUUCUUGACCGCUGAAAUUUCUUUAAUGUAAACAGCAUAAAGAGGUAGGGAUGGCAAUUGGGGCAGGUCAGAAGUAGGGAUGGCGUGACAGGUCGGAGGUAAGGAUGGCAAUUGGGGCGCAUAGAAAUGAUGGCGUGGCGGUGGGGGCAGGCGGAGGGGGGUGGGCCUCCUGCCACAUUAUUCGCCAUAUCCCUUGCAUAAGCAAAUAAAUUUUAAAAAUUAAAUAUAUAUAAUUAUUUAUUUAAUUGUAUUAGUUAUACUAUUGAAGACAUUCACAUUAUAUAUAUAAUUUAAUUAAUAUUGUUAGGCAAACUAAGACCUCUAUUAUUAGUCAUAAUUAAGACUUUCUUGAAAUUACACGUUGACUGUAAUUUCUUUAAUGUAAACAGCAGGCAACAAAUAAUGCUUGAAAUCUGUGUACUCCAAUUCAUGACCCUUAUUUUAUAUUUUUUACUGUUUCACAGGUUGAUUUGGUUAUCUUUGCGCAUAUGUUUUUUAGUCAAACUUAAUGAUUUCCCCAAUAGUAUUGAGUGGACCGAUAGCACAGGCUAUUGGUUUAUGAGUACAUGGAGCAUGGUUCUCCGGUCUCCAGUGAAAAAUCUACAUUCUGAUAGACUUGAUUGGAGGAAAAAAAAAGAGGUAUGAUAUUGCUGUUGGUUACUCUCUUACUCGCGUGAAGAGUGCUUAGAGUGGGUUUUGCACUGCGGUUUGAAGCCUCUGAGCAUACUCUUGGACUCGAAUUACCAGUCAAAGCUGGCAGAUUUUUUCCUUUCCAAACUAUUGAAGAGAGGUGGGACUAGGGGUGUCAACGAAUCGAAUUGAGCUCGAAUAUUAGUUUGAUCGAAUUCGAGUUCGACAAGGUGCUUGAGACUCGAGAUCGAGCUCGAGAUCGACGAAUAUUAAUUUUACAUGCUCGAAUUCGAUUCGUAAGGAAUUCGUGAGGAUCGAGCUCGUGUUCGAAAUUGCUCGAAUUGCGAUCGAGCUCGAGUUCGAGCGAUCGAACUCGAGCUCGAGUAGUCGAGCUCGAGUUCGAAAUUGCUCGAAUUGUGGUCGAGCUCGAACUCGAACGGUCGAACUCGUGUUCGAAAUUGCUCGAGCUCGAGCUCGAGCUCGAAGGUCCAUUAAAAUUGUGCUCGUUUAAAGCCUGCUGAAUGCUGAACCAAAUGAUCUACACAAAGAUACUCUAUCAACGACAUUUUGCAAUACAAUGAAAGGGGUAAAGAACACAAAAACGUUAAUAACUAACACAGAUAUUUUAAAAUGUGUUUGACUGAAUCUUGGAGCAGGACGUUUUUAUACACCAAGUAACUGCACAAGCUGUUAUUGUUAAAAUAUGUCGUUCAAACUAUCUACUCUAGUAAUCAAUAUUUCAAGCAGCACAAAGAGGGACAGCAGAGGUAUCUUGUUAGUCAGACAAAAUCAUAUUCAUCUGAUUCCUUUUUAGCCUUGACAUUUGUUACAUGUUAAGGCUAAAAUCAUACAUCUAAUGCCUGGACACAGAACACAAAUAAGUCAGUCUGCAAUAUCCUUUUUAGCCUUGACAUUUGUUACAUGUUAAGGCUAAAAUCAUACAUCUAAUACCUGGACACAGAACACAAAUAAGUCAGUCUGCAAUAUCUUUAAGCCGAAUUUGUCCUUCAUUCAGCCUUUUAUGUGAACCAAAUCACUGAACAUCACUGUCCAAAGUCCAAACUCAUCUAUAUGAUUGAGAAUCUAAGACAAGCCAGCUUUAAAUAUCAAUUUAAAGCCAAAGCAUCAAACUGUCAAAAAUUUAGCAGCCUAAUGCCAAGUUGUCAACCAAUAUCCAAAUGCAUCCAUACAUAUUUUAACAUCAAAACCAGCAUCCAAAUUCAAAGAUAAGUCAGACAACCAACAUCCACCAAGUCACGCAAAUAGAAACAACAAAGACAAAGUGUCAACAACUCAACAUUCAAGAGAAUGUCUUCAACAGGCAAUGUCAAUUGUCAAGAAAUAAUCAUACUUAAAAAAGUGAAACAAAUUUUGCAAUUAAAGCAGUAAAACAGCAACUUCUUGUCCAUUCCACGAUAAUCCUUUCCAACUUUCCAAUUUCAACUGCAGGCCCUAUAUAAAAAAAAUAAUUUAAGUAAUAAAAUAGUAGUGGUAAAAUCUAAAACAAGAUAUUUGAAGAGAAAUCGAAGUGUUAAACACAAAUAAUGUACCUUUCCAAUUAUCACAUUCAUUUUAUGGGAAGUAGAAUCUCUUUUGCUGCCUAUUUACAUUACAGGAAUCUGCCCCUGACAUGACUCGAUUGGAAUAAGAUUCAACUGCGGUUAUGGGCUGACCUGAAAAUAAAAGAAAUUUUAGCUGAUUUUCGAAUCAAAAGCUGCACUUGGAUGAGAAAAAAGAGCUAAUUCUAACUAGUACAACGAAUUCCAUAACGAGUUCAUCCCAGUAGUUGAACAUUUUUAACUAAUACAGCGAAUUCCUAUAAUACAAGGAAAUUUAAUAAUGAAGAUAAAAAAAAAUUAUACUUAACAAACCUGAAAAUAAUCAAGAGGGUUAAAAAAGAACUAUAGCAGGCAUUGCACCAGUCAUAGAUAAUUUUAAGUUGGUUGCUUUUCCUUUACUUCCAAGAGUUAAUAAAGAUUGAGAAUAAAAACUAUAACGAACUAAAACUAACUUCAAUGACCAGAGAUUAAAAGCUAAUUGAAUGAUUUUUCCUUUUAUAUCAGUUAAUAGAAGCCUUUUAACAACGAAUAAAUUUCUUCAAGAAAUGUAUUAAAGAAAGAAUUGAUGGAAGUAUGAAGUAAAAAUUGGUUGUGGAAUCUGAACUCUCACUUUAGCAAAAGUUUGAAUAAUCUAAAACAUGUGAUUGGGUUAAAAUAUUACGGAUACCAUCCCAUUUUACUGGACCUCCAUUAAUUCUCAAUACCCAGGAAAAGAGAACAAAGUUUUUCCUACACUCUGUCAUGGCAAUAGUCUUAAAUUCGUUGCUACUUUUAUCUCAGAAUGCUGCCAGUCACAAACACACUCGCGCACUCAACCGUUUUCACAUAAACUACAAAAGAACAGGACAACCUUCCCAAAACAUUGAACAAGUUUAAACAGAGGUUUAAAGGAAUCAUAUCAAUUGCUGAUUAUAUAGGAGUAUGGGAAAUUCAAAAUUUUUCCCUUCGUUACCAUCUGUUGACUUCUACCUGGUUUCCCAUUCUGGAUGCAGAGUCUUUACUAACUCGGAGCCUCCAAGGUGGAGUAGUAAAGAAGCAAAUCUAACUAGACAAUAGAAGAGACAAAGCAAAGCUGACAAAAACAUUUAAAUUUAAAGCUCGCAAAAACAUUUAAAGCUCGAGCUCUUCCCUUCGCAAACAGGAAGCAAAACUGUCGGUGGUUUUCUUUUUCUUUCUUCUUUUUUUUUCCAACUACUACCAGUAUUUGUGUCGUAAUCACCUUCAUUGCUACUGUUUUGCAGCAGAAAACCAUUUCCGGGCUUGUUGCUACUGCUAAUUUAGUAAAAGAAAACCAUUGCUACUCUAACUUAGUAAAUAUCUUUUGCCGGAAGCGUACAGAUUAUGAACCCUAGUUAUGCGCCUAUUUUGCUAAGAUUUAUUCAGUGAAUCAUACUCCAGAGAUCACAGAAUUUAAGCCAAACCUUAUAAAAUGAAAAUGACGAGGUUGCGACGAAGCUGGGACCAGCCAAAUUACUUAAGGAUAACAUCUUACCUGCUGCACGACUGCACCUGCUUCAAGAUCCAAGGAUUCCAAGCUGCCGGUCGCCGCACGCCUGCACCGAGCCACCGACUGCACAAUCCAAAUGGGUGGAGUAGCAACAACAAAAUGAAACGGCUGGAGCUGGACGGCUGGAGCUAGCAACCCAAAUGGGUUUGAUUUGAAAUUGGAAUUAGGGAUUGAGGUGAGGAAUGGGGAUUAAGGAAUAGGUAAUUAGGGACAGCCGUGCACUGAGGUGAGGAAGAAGAAAGAAGACGGCGUUUUUGGACAAAGAUUGAAUUGAAGCUCUCGACGGCUUGACCUAAUUAGAGUUUGAUACUUUGAUAUGUGAAUUUUUUUUUUUAAGGAAUUAUCUGGAAAGACAAGAAUACCCCAAUUAUAUUUUAAAUUUUAAUAGGUAAAACAUGUAAUUAAGCUUACAACUAUAUAUAUCUAAGUAAUUUUACAAAUAUAAAAUUAUAUAUAUUUAAAUAUACCUUAAGCUCGAAAAGCUCGCGAACCUAUCGAACAUAGCAUUUCUAGGCUCGAAUUCAAUUCGUUGAAAUAUUCGAAUAGUUUGAGAUCGACUCGAGCUCGAUUUUAUCGAACUCGAGCCGAUCUUUUGCUUGAACUGCUCGCGAGCAGCUCGAUUCGUUGACACCCCUAGGUGGGACAUAACUCAACCUUUCCAGAACUAAGGGAACUAGAAGCUACAUGGCUGCUGGAUGGGUUUUCAAUCUUCUCAUAACCUCAAAAGUUGAUGUUUAUAGUUAUGGAGUCAUUGUGCAGGAAUUGUUAACCGGAUGAUGCCCAGUUGGAGGCCAUUUUAUGGAGGAAAAAACCAAUGUGAUGGAGCCAAAGAGACUAGUUGCAUGGGUGAAGGAGAAAAUACACGAAAGUAAUGGAAGAACAUCAUUGAUAGCAAAAAUUGCAGAGCCUACCAUAAAUUCUGAAUUCGAUGUGGCAAGUAUGGAAAUUCUAGUUAGAGUUGCUCUCCAGUGUCUGGAGGAAGUCAAAGAUGCAAGGCCAACAAUGAGCCAAUUGGUGGACAAGUUGCUCCAUCAAAAAAUCGAGGAAUAUUAAGAUGCAGUUCAUGUGCUCUUCAGAUGCACACCAACAACAACAAUCAAGUAGUUAGACUAAAUGGCUCAGUCUUGAAUUGCUGACUAGUAUGUGUGUUCUGAUUAGAUAUUUUCUGGUCCUGUAAUUUACAAGUUUCCACCAUAUUAUUGUGAAUGAAACAUUAAAGUAAGACAUAUUUGUCUUCCAAUGAAUUCAAGGUAAAUGCUAAUUUACCUUAAAUUACCACAUACUCCUCUUAUUCUUCAAUAAUAUUCAUAUAAACACCUUAUAGUUUUACAUAUGGUGUAAAAUGAGUAGAAAACACCUCUACUUAACCCAAGAGUGAAAUAAAUAAAGAUGCUUUUUAAAAUGUGUUUGACUUUAAAUUCAUGGAAACUAAGGACACGUAAUUGGUACUUCUCCUCCUAAACAUAGAUUGGAAGUCAAUUUGUGUAAGAAAAGAUGGGAAAAUUGAUUCAUAGAAUUUAAUUCAUUAUCGUUGCAUAAAGUUCUCUUUUCUGUCUCUCUCUCUACCAAACUGUGUAUUGCAUAUAGAUAACAUAGUUUAAUAAGUGAUACCAAGUCAUUUCUCCUCAAUAUCCAGGAAUAUAGAGUUCAAUAGAUUCAGAGACAGGCCAAUGAAAUGGCACAUUAUCUAGUCGGUAUAUGAGUGAAUUACCAGUGGAGUGGUUUGAGGCAAUGCCUUCCUGUAUUAACGCUAUGUUCCAUGGGGAUUUGACUCAUUUGGAGUGAUAGGAAAAAAUGUUUUUGGGAAGAAGGUUGAAUUGGGUAAAAAAGUGAAAAGAGUUAUAAGUAGGAGAUAUUGAAUUCAAGAUCUUUCAUUUAAAAAAAUGAAGUGUUUAUAAAUUAAAAAAAUGGUUAUGAUUCCCUAUUUGCAUAAACAUAGGACAAAGAGUAGGUUUUUUGUCCUUUUUUGAGGACUAUUCAUCAUUUUCCUUUUUUCAAUCAAAUUUCAAUGGAUCUAUAAAUAAAUGCAAACACUUAAUGCACCAGUUAAAAAAUAAUGUGUUCCUUGAAGGAGAAAGGUAGGAUUUAAAAAGGGCAAGGGAGAUUUAAACACCAAAAUGUAAUUGUCAAAUACCAUCUUAAUUAUAGUGGUUUAAAUAUUAUCAUUGCAAAAUUUAUUUUGUCAAAAAAUUAUACUUUAUUAAAUUAGAAUUAAUCAAGUAAAUAAAGUUUCCAAACUAUAAUACAAAAGUGAUCCCUUAUUUUCAUUUUUAAAGUUUAGCAGGAAUCUAUUCUACAUUUAUGAUCUCCACUCAAUUCAAUUACAUUAUGUUUUCCAUAAUAUAAUAUAACAUAAAAUAUUAUAUAUUGCAUAUGAGGAAUGUACAUAUAAUUGUAUUUUUUUUCUUUUUGAUGCUCUUCAAUUUAUAUGCAUAUAAGUAUGCUAGUUUAAAGCCAUAAUUUGACCAUUUUCAUAGUGUUAUAUAUUGUCUAAACUUGUUGAUAUUGUUGUCACAUUUUGUUGGUAAAAAUAUGUGUAUCACCCAAUCACAGAUGAAUUUAUAUUCACGAUGUGAUUAUGAUGUGAUUUAUUCUAAAGUGUUCUUUAGUCAUUGGCUCCACCUUUGCUCAUACAAAGCACCAUGAAUAUCAAUACAAUACUGAUUAAAAUGAUUUUUUUAAUUAUUUUAACUCAACAAUUAUAAUGUAUUAUUUAAACGAGUUUAUUUAAAAAAAAGAAAUUAAGUUAUUCAAAUUUUUGAGAUGGAUAGAGAGAAUAAAAAAUUUUACAUGUUAGAUAUCAUUAGGAAUAGAAAUUUCUGAUCCAUAAUUAUGCACGUCCCUACGUACAUCGACAAGAAAUAGAACACAAUCCUUUGACUUGACAAGAAAUAGAACACAAUCCUUUGACUUGAUAUUUUACGAGUGUUUCAGUCUUAUCCCAGUCAUUUUCCCAACUAUGUCCCAAAUAUUAUCAAAAGCAUAGGAAUCAAAAACUAAAUCCAUUCCACCAUAGGUUAUGACAAGAGUCAUUCAUGUCAUGUCAGUCCAUUUUAUGUUUAGGGCAUGCUUAGGAAAUAUUAUUAACAUAUUAUACAGGUCUGUGCAAUUCUUGAUGGAGAAGGGUAUGCUGAUAAAGUGGUGGUACCAGCUAGUCAGGUCUUUGAGGUUCUUGAUUCUAUUUCUCUCAAAGAUGCUGCGUGUUUUCUCAAUGUUGGUUGUACUAUUUGGCGGGCCUUUUCCAAGGGCAACAUAGAAUAAGGAAAAACCAUAUUGGUAAUUGAGCAAUUAGCAUUGUCACGAAAUGUACUGCUUUAAACUUGUUAUGUUAUUAGUGAAUUUUUAAUUCCAUCAUGAGAAAUGUAACUUUGGCUUAAGUGAUUUUGGACCUAUUCUUUUUCUCUUUCCCGAGAAAAAUAUUUCAAAUAGGGCAAAAUGCCCCAUUGACCUUCAAAUUAUUAUAAAAUUCAACUUUUAACCCUCGAACUAUUAACUGAUAAGUUUUAGCCCUCCAACUAAUUAAAGCAUAUAAUUCUAGACUUUUGACAACUUGAACCGUUAUAUCUAACAAAGAUAAAGGAUUCAUAAGAUACUAGUGGCCCUCAAACUAUUACAAAGUUCAACUUUUAACCCUCAAAUUAUUCAUUAGUAAGUUUUAACCCUCUAACUAAUUCAAAAGUAUAAUUCUACUCUUUCAUGAUUUGCACUCUCAAACUAUUACAAAGUAAACCAAGACUUGUUAAAAUAUUCUCAGAAAAUGAAUGGUAUGCUAGAUUUAUGUCAUCAAGAGAAGCACAUAAACCCAAUGAAUUUGGAAUAAUACCAAAAAUGUGUUAAAUUCAAGUGAAGACAACUCAAUUAAUUUAAAUUACCUAUCCUUACUGAAAUUUCUCUAUUCAGGGUUUUGGAUUUUAGGAUUUCAAUUGAUUUUGAUCAUGCAUAAUUUCAAAAACCACCCUGAGGUUUCUGACAAUUAUACAAAAAUACCUUCCAAUAUCAAAAAUUACACUGCCCUCCUUUCAUUUUGAUGUGACCAGAUGUCAUAUUCAAUAGUAAUAAAGUGACUAAAAUACCCUCACAAAAUCUGUCCCUAAAAUACUAGAAAUAUGGGAAAAAUAUAAGUCUUCCAAGUUUAGUAUUUUUAUAUGCAAUUUGACACUAUUAAGUGUAUGACCUUGUUGAGAUGCUUUUUUUUUGCCUUGGAUUGGUUAUUAUGGGUAUUCAACCAAUUUGAAGCGUAUGACCUUGUUAUUUAUCAUAUUUAAUAUUUGUUUUAGUUUAUUUAGUUUAUAGUGCUUUGUACAUCUAGAAUCUUUGAUUUUGAAGCAUAAUAAAUGAACUCCUAAAUAUUAUAGAUGAAUUUAAAUCCACCAUUUCGCGGCCUUCUGAUUCAACCACUAUAUAACUAUCAAAGGCUCAACUUUUAUUGGUACAUUCUUAUAAUUUUAUCCAUAUUUCAAAUGGACUUUACAAUCUCAAUGAAAAUGAAUAUAGCUAGUAAACUCAUGUUCAUUAUUAUCAGUAUUUGGAUAGGUGACAUUACAUUGUUGCCAAUGCUUUUUGAUUUUUGAACUUGCGUUGGAUCUUCUCGUCUUCGACUGCUUACUUCUUUAGGUUCGAUGCCAUCAAACUACUCGAAAAUUUUAAUUAUUGCUUUGCAUUAACACCCAUAGUUUCUGUUUUUGAUCCUCAAUAAUAUGCUUGCAUGAAAUGAGCUUUGGUGAUAGUUUGAUGAAAACAUGUUUCUCUGGUUGCCUUUGUAUUCAGUUGAAAUUGGCCUUUAUUUUUACCUUUUUCAUCAGCAUUUUAUGCUAUAUAUUGUCCACAAAGUACCGUUGCACUUCCAACGGUUGUUGUAGGACUUUACUAUCCAGAAUAUUGAUUUGUUUAAUGUUAUUUUCAUGUCCUAAGUGGAUCAACUUGGUGCCAAUUUUUCUUCUUUUUUUAUUGCCAUUUUUCUUGUCCAAAAUUUUAACUCAUUUUCUAGUAAGUUCAAUGAGGACACACAUGGAAUAUAAUUUGUUUAACAAGACUGAUUCAUUUCUUUUAAGAUUAAUUUUUGUAACAUGAAUUUAGUUUAUUAUCAAAUAUGUCAAUCAAGGGAAAAGUAGUGUAAUUUUUUAUAUUGGAGGUAUUUGUGUAAUUGUCAAAAAUCUCAGGGGAAAUUUCUUAAAUCAUCCCUUUUGGUCAAAUUCAAUGAUUGGAGAUUUGGUAAAUUAAUUUGUGAGUCAAAUGGGGUAAAACAACUUUACCCUAACAUAUGUCUUGUGAAGACAAAACACCCCCCACAGGGAGUGGACCCUACAGACUAUUCCCCACCCUCCACAACCGCCAGACCAAGUCCUGGAGGGCAUUUGAAGGCCACUGUUGUGCAUGUCAUGCUAUUUUUGUUAAACAUAACGACUGAAGUUGACAAAAGGACUAAAAUUAUAUAUUUUAAUUAAUUAAAGGGUUUAAACUUAUCAAUUAAUAGUUAAAGGGUCAAAAAUUAAAUUUUAUACUAGUUUGAGGGACAUUGGGAUAUUUUGCCCUUUCUAAUAUACAUUUUUGUUUGUUACUAUUGUUUGUUUAAAAGCUAUUAUGAGUUAAUAUCACUGCAGUUCAAAUUGUGUGUCCUGCCAUCUUUCAAGUUUCUGCAUUUGUAUAUAUUUUUUGGAGUAUGUCAUAUUUGGUAUAAAAUGGUCUUUAGUUAAUAAAGUUUGAUAUGCUUAUCAUUGAUAGUAAUGCAAAAUGAUGUCAGUGUGUAACUUUUCAGAGACAUGAAACUUGUGGUUAUUAUGCAGUAUUUGCCAUACAAAUGGUGAGACUUAAGGGGGAUAUGGUUUUGUGUGCUACAGGUUUGCUUUAAGUUUUACCUGCAAAAGUUUGUUUAAGGCCAUAGAUUGGAUUCAAAAAUGCUACUGGGAUAAUCAAUUUUUCCUAUGUUGCAAAUGUCUUUGUAAAAAAUGAUGAAAAUAGUAAGUUUUACAUGGAGUUAGGUACCUAUAACUGUAUAACUUGAAGGAUAACGGUUUUCCUACUCAAGUGAAGAAACUAACAUCAGACAAAGGUAUAGCUUAUAGUGUGAUUGACUGGAGUUCCUACUCUUUGUACUAGUGUCUUCUUCUUUGAUGCAUUAAUUGUCAUAUCAGCUAUUUAGUCUUUCCAAUUACCUACAUAUUUAUUCCCAUCCAUUUUAUCAAAUUCAUCACACCACAUGCAGCCACCACAACCGUCAUUCCAAAACCCAAAAAAACUUAGUCAGGGCCACUUCAAACCCAAGUUCUGUGCAUUUUCAAAACUCACACACCCAUUGUUUCAAAGACACCUUGUCAUGGUAAUUGCCAUCUUGAUCAAAAUAUGAAAAUAUUAUAAACUUGGUUAAUAUCGGCCUCUGGCCAUAUGUGCUGGUAAUUAUCAUAGUUGUGCUUGGGUAGGAGUUCAACAAUUUGUUGUUGGGCACGAUGGCAAAUGACUAAGAACUGACAUGCAUGUCUCUGGUUGUAGCCUAUGAUGGAUUGGAUUUAGUUUAUACUUUCUAUGCUUGCUCAUAAUAUUUGGGGCGCAUUUGGGAUCUCUAAUUGAAGGAGAAGGGUUGGGGUAGGAUUGAAACAUUCUUGUAAAAUCUUUGAUGAUAGCGGCUCUAAUGAUGCUUUCUACUUCCUAUCGAUGAUGGGCGUGUCUUGUUUUCUACUUCCUAUCAACGAUGGACGUGCAUAAUCAUGGAUCAAAAAUGUGUUUUUGCAUCCCAAGUGAAAUUGGCAUGCAAAUAGUCAGAAAUCUUUUGUUAUCUCACUAACCUUCAACUUCAUUAGAUAAGCUUACCACGAUUUAGGCUUAUCAAAUCGACAAACCCCCAACCUAUCAACAGUAUGUAUUACAUAAUUCGCCCCAACUAAUCUUAACAAACAUACAAACAUAUGAAAAAAAUACACAUGCAUUAACAAAUAUAUUGUUUCUUAUUUAUUAUACACUUUGAUAAGUUGUAUAAUAAAUCUUAUUUAUUAUUGUCAAAUGUAUAGGAUCUCAUGCAUAAGUUGCAACAUGGAUGAUGAUAUUUGGAUGUUUUGUGUUUUAUGGAGUGAAACACAUAUUUUCUACCAAUAAAGUGUGACAACAAUAUCUACUAAUUUAGACAAUACAUAACAAAUACUUAUUUUUAUACAUGUAAGGUGGUUGAUAUUAAAUUGAAAUAUGCUAAAAAAAAUACAAUUAUAUGUACGUUUAUGAUAUUUAUUGUAUUAACUUUUAUCAUGUAUUAUAAAAUAUAGAACAUAAUGUAGUUGUAUCAAUUGAAGACUAUAAAUCACAAAUGCAGAACAGAUUCCUAUUUAACUCUAAAAAUAGAAAAUAAGGGACUACUUCCUAUUAUAGCUUAAAAACUUUAUUUAUUCAAUUGGCCUUAAUUUAAUAAUAUUGAAUUUAUUUAAAUUUUUUGACAGUUUGUAAUGAUGAUUUCUAAACCACUAUAAAUAAUAUGGUCUUUGACAAGUAAGUUAUGAUAUUUGUUUGGGAUUUAUGUAUAGAUCUAUUAAAAAUUGAUUUAAAAGGAAAAUGAUGACAGAUCCAUAAAAAAGAAUAAAAAUUCUACUCUUUGUCCUUUGUUUUUGUAAAUGGAGAAUAUAACCAGUUAUAUGUGCUCUAAACAGCUUGGUAAAAAGAACCAAAAGAACUUUAGACAAUGAAGAGUACAAUUAUGAAUUAAAUUUUGAAUUAAUUAUUUCUUUUUUCUUACACUAAUUGACUUCCUAUCUAUGUUUAGGAGGAGAAAUACCCAUGUCUUCCUAGUUUCUGUAAAUAUUUAGAGUCAAACACAUUCUAAAAGGCAUCUUUAUUCAUAUCACCAGGGGUUAAGUAGAGGUAUUUCCUUAAACAUUUUACAUGUUAUAUAAAUCUACAAGGUGGAAAGUUUAUAGGGAAGUUAUUGAACAAUAGGAGGAUUAUGCGGUAUUUUAAGGAAAUUGCUAUUUACGUUAAAAUCAUUGAAUAACAAAUAUUUCGUCCACAAUCAUAAAUAGAAAAUAUCUGACUUUAACACACAUACUAACAGUAAUUCAAGAUGAUUGCAACUGAUUGAAGAGCAUAUGAAAUGCAUUCUAACAUUCGUCACUUUCUUGAUGGAGUAACUUGUCAACUACGUAGCUCAUUGUUGGUCCUGCAUCUAGGUCUUCCCCUAUGAGUUGGAGAGUAACUCGAACUAGAACUUCAAUAUUUGUCAUAACGUUCAUGGCAAGGUUUGCAAUUUUUACAAUCACUGUUGGUGAUGUUCUUCCAUUAGUUUCAAGCAUCUUAUCUUUCACCCAUGUGACGUGAUCGACACUGGAGUAAUUAGUGCUAUUCUAUUCUGAGCUAAAGACUUAUUACUAACGUGAUUGCAUGGGUAAUUAGUCCUAUUUUAAUGGUGUUUAUGUAACGCCCCGAGGCAGAAGAAAAGGAAAAAUUUCUGGUGAAUAGAGUUUUGUGAGGAAUCCGGCCCACAUAAAUCUGGAAGAAAUUCGGUCCACAUAAAGAGCUUAAAGAGCCAGCUCUUUAAGGCUUUCCGAUAAGGCCCAAUAAGUACUAAAAUACCCUUUUAUUUGAAAAUUAUUAUUUAUUAAAGCCCACUACCCAAUUAUUUCACACAAGUGUAAAUAAACCUAGAAAAUAGGGUUUUACACUUCGGUUUCAAGUUUGGAGCGAAAUUAGGGUUUUCGCGAUUUUUAACCGGAUGAAUUUUCGGUACAGAGUAAGGAUUAAUUUUGGGGAUUAAAAGUAACUUUUAAGUGAGAAAUAAUAUGUGACUAGUGGCAAUGAUAUAAGGUUAGUGAAUUGGAAGUAAAACCCUAAUACGUGAGUUUUUAAGAAAAACGGCGCGAACCGGCGGGUCCCGCGCAUUACCGAUUGAACGCACUGCUUGACCACCAUUUUUCUUACCCAACAAGUUUGUUGACUUUUGUACAUAAUAUCUUCUUAAAUUGCAGCAAGGUUGACCGAAAUUAGUGGCCAAGAAAGGCAAGAAAGAAAGAGAAAAAAAAGAGGUGGUGGUGGUGACACUUGUCACCACCUCAUGGCUUCUUAACCAAGACCAUUACUAUCCAUUUAACUCCAACACUUAGCCAAUUUCUUCUUCAUUUCUGCUGGUGCUGGCCGUGAGAAGCAAGAAGAAAAACCCAAAGGAAAACAUUCCAUUUCAUCUUCAAAUCCAACAACUUAGGAAGAAAUCCAACAAAGUAAACCGAUUAAACUUGUUCUUGAGUGACUAGCUAGUGGCUUGUGGUGUGAUUUUUGAAGGAGAAAGCUUGGGCUACUUGUAGUGACUUCUAUUCAAGGUAAGAGAGUUUAUCUCUCUAAGUUUUGCUUUCAAAUUUGUUAAAGUAAGCUUGGCAACUUGAUUUUAUGGUGAGAUUAUGGAUGAUUAGCAUGUUUUAGAAGUUUUCCCCAAUUUAUUUGAUGAACUAGGGCUUAUGGAAAUUCUGCCCAAAUUAUUAUAUGAUGCUCAUAUGUUGCAAUUGAGGUUUUAUAAGGUGUUGUGGUAGUGAUUAGACCAAGAAAUUAAGGAAAGUUGCACUAGAAACUCAAAAUUCCAAAAUCUGGAAAAUUGUCUCAACAUUCUGUCUGAAUUUUUAUCUAUAUGUUAGAGGCUGUUUUGGCCUUAGGUCAAAGAAGAAAAGUUGUAGAGAAUGGCAUUUUAUAGGUACCUACAAAAUUUCAGCUCAAUCGGAGCAACGUAGGAUGUGAAAAGUCCAAAAUACCCCUACUGUUCUAAGUAUUUCCCAGCAGUCCGUUUCUUCAGUUCAGUCCAGUUUAUCACGAUUUUUGACCAGGAUCCAUUCUGAAUUAGCUCUGGGCCAAAACAUGAAAGUUGUAGUGUUCUGAAGUAGCUUUAAAAUGCCUCUAAGAACACAUGAUUUGGACUUGUGUAUACUGAGUUAUGACCAUUACAGUGUUCUGCGUUUAAACAGCCGACGAAUUGGUUUCUGGUUUAGUAUUUUGAGAAUUUGACCAAGUUACACUAGAAACUGGACUAAGUGACCUUCAUGAACAUUGUAGCCCUGUGUCUUAGCUUCGAAACGGCAUAGGUUGCACCUCAAUCCGAUAAGCGUAGCCUCGGAUAUGUUAUUUCCGCUUUCAUACGUCAAAUCUGUUUUGUGCUAGAUUGAAUUUCUGCACUUGCUAUCGUUGUGAAUCUUAUUAUUAUGAUAUUGUGAGCCUAUGGAACGGCUCUUGUCAUGAAUUGCUGAUAUAUGUGAUGUUGGAUUUUGGUUGAGAAAAAUAAUGAAGCCUAAAUAGCUGGAAAAUUAGGUAAAUACAAAGGGCAUGCUGCCCGAAUUUUUACUCGAGAACUAGAAAACUAUAUUUGCAACUUGAGUGAAGGUUAAGUGAUUACCACUUGAACUAGCGAGAACUUUUGCUACUUUGUUAUCGAUGGUUAUACGUUAAAAACCUAAACGAACUUGUACUCUUGAGGAAAAGAUAUAAUGGCCAAUGUAAACUUGUAUUUCCUUGUACUUUUAACUCAAGUAUUGUUUCCAAGUAUAUAUGCUAUAAAAACCUUAUGAUUUGAAAAGCGAGCAAGUGUUUCACGAAUGCCUUUCAAAUGAAUUUCAAUUGGUUGAUUCUUAUGAACGGAACGUUUAAGUUUCAAAUCUUACUUGUGUUUCAAAGUUCUCAAAUUGGAUUUCAAUCGCAGAUCUGGACUCCAAACCUGGAGUAUAAUUGAACGUGACUACGUGAAGCACUAUAGUUUGAGUGAGUGAUCCCUCCACUACUUCUCAAAGAUUACUUUUGACAUGACUCUUGCAUUGAUUGCACAAUUGCAUAUCAUUGUGUUUGUGUGUGUGCCAUGACAUAAUUUGGCUCCAAUGAGUUCCUGGAAAGUCUUGUGCUUAGAACCAAUGUCUCCACUAUUGUUUACACAUUCUUUGGAGCCCGAUGGCUUCUUACUUCUGUUUCACGGUUACUUGAUCUAAACGAGCAUUGGAUAUUUAAGCACAAGAAUUUCACUGGCUCACAUGAGCAAUAAAUGAACAUUUGAUUACUGCAUCAUGACAUCAUAUCAAUGCUUGAUUGUGAAAUAUACUUGGCUGUUCAUUUUACUGGUCACUCGCUGAGCUUCUAGCUCACCCCCUAUUAUCUUCUUCUCCCCACAGGGAUCGAAGUAAAGGAAGAACUUGUUUUUGGAUCUUUGUGUGGCUGGAUGGCGUACAUCUUGUAUAGUUUAGUUUUGGUUUUGGUUUAUGUACUUUUGGGCUGUAUAAAUAUUUGGAAUUGAAUCGGAUGUAAAUCUAUAUUUUAUGCUUAGAACUGGUUUCCGCUUCGCUUAUGAUAUGUAAUUUUGGAGAAUUGGAUGUAUUAUUUGAGUUGUACCUUGUAAUUUACUUGAGGAAUGUAGUAAGUGAGUGAGUCCCGGCGAGAGCUGGGCAGGCGGCCCGCUAAACCCUUUGGUUCGCCUUAGGGGGAGGUGGGGUCGUUACAGUUUAAGCUAAAGACUUUUGAGUCUGUUUAAGCUUUUGAUCAUUUUUCCUUUGGUUUAUUCUAAAUAAAAAUUUAUUUUGUUAUGCUGGUGAUUUAAUGGUGCUUUAUUUGCUUGGUUAGUCAUUCAAUAUUGUCUUUGGCCUGCAUUUCUUGAGAACUGAUUCAAUCAUAUCUUGUUUUGACUGAAAGUGAAAUUUUCCAGAUUGCAAUGCGUAAAAUUGCCUUUUUCCCCUUUUUUAAGAUGGAAGAACUUAAAAAUGACUAUUCAUAGUCCAUCCAACAAUUGAGAUAAUGGUUUUGGUAAAGCUUUCAGCACAUACAUAGCAUGAUGCUCGUAUUUUGACCAUGUAAGUCGAAGUAGUAGAGCUUCUGUAAUUACAUGUUCGCAGAUUAAUAAAUGCUUUUGGUUGUAGUGUACUGUUUGUGCUUUGCACGAUACAUAUUUUAAAGAUAUUUUCUGAAUAUUAUAAAUAUGGGUGCACAUGAAAUGCCUAGCAGUUUAUCCAGUAAUCUAAAUAGAGAAGAUUAAGUAUAAUCCUUAGAGGUUAACAUACUUGGGGUGGGCAGCUUCACCUGGUACUUCUACUUGAGAUGUCUACCCUUGCCAUCCAAACCCUAUUUUCUCAUAUACUCUUCAAUAGUUUUACCAUAAGCUUGCUUUAACAGCUUCCUGCCUGAGGUGAUCUUGGGAAUUAUAUAAACUUGAAAGCCACCUUGUCAUGGCAGCUGGCAUGUUGAGGAAAAUAAGGAAAAAUUAUAAAUUUUUGGUUAAGUUCAGCCGCUAGCCAUAUGUAUUAAUAAUUAUUAUGGUUGGGUUUGGGGUCGGAGUUCGACAAUUUGUCGUUGGCCCUGAUGGCAAACGCUUGAAUCAUCAUAUGAAGUUCUCUAAUGAACAUCUGUGGUGUAAUGUGUUUUUUUUGUGCCUUCUGGGUGUGUUGGUAGUGUUUGCUAUGCAAUUGGUGAUUUCUAGGUUGAAGAAAAACAAAUGGACAAAAACUUUUUCAGUGGUAAAAUGUUUGGCAAAAACUGUCCUAGGGGUUGCUUUCUACUUUCUCGCUAUGUAUCUAGGCGCAUGCAUAGUUGAAGAUCAAAAAUCUUUUCUCUCGCUAGUGAUAAUGACGUGGUCCAUAUGUGCUGGUAAUUAUCAUGGUUGGGUUUGGGUAGGAGUUCAACAAUUUGUUGUUGGGCACGAUGGCAAAUGACUAAGAACUGACAUGCAUGUCUCUGGUUGAAGCCUAUGAUGGAUUGGAUUUAGUUGAUACUUUCUAUGCUUGCUCAUAAUAUUUGGGGCGCAUUUGAAAUCUCUAAUUGAAGGAGAAGGGUUAGGGUAGGAUUGAAACAUUCUUGUAAAAUCUUUGAUGAUAGCGGCUCUAAUGAUUGCUUUCUACUUCCUAUCGAUCAUGGACGUGGCUUGCUUUCUACUUCCUAUCAAUGAUGGACGUGCAUAAUCAUGGAUCAAAAAUAUGUUUUUGCAUCCCAAGUGAAAUUGACAUGCAAAUAGUCAGAAAUCUUUUGUUAUCUCGCUAUCCUUCAACUUCAUUAGAUAAGCUUACCACGAUUUAGGCUUUUCAAAUCGACAAACCCCCAACCUAUCAACAGUAUCUAUUACAUAAUUCCCCCUAACUAAUCUUAACAAACAUACAAAGAUAUGAAAAAAAUACACAUGCAUUAACAAAUAUAUUGUUUCUUAUUUAUUAUACACUCUGAUAUGUUGUAUAAUAGAUCUUAUUUAUUAUUGUCAAAUGUAUAGCAUCUCAUGCAUAAGUUGCAAAAUGGAUGAUGAUAUUUGGAUGUUUUGUGUUUUAUGGAGUGAAACACAUAUUUUCUACCAAUAAAGUGUGACAACAAUAUCUACUAAUUUAGACAAUACAUAACAAAUACUUAUUUAUACACAUGUAAGGUGGUUGAUAUUAAAUUGAAAUAUGCUCAAAAAAAUACAAUUAUAUGUACGUUUAUGAUAUUUAUUGUAUUAACUUUUAUCAUGUAUUAUAAAAUAUAGAACAUAAUGUAGUUGUAUCAAUUGAAGACCAUAAAUCACAAAUGCCGAACAGAUUCCUAUUUAACUCUAAAAAUAGAAAAUAAGGGACUACUUCCUAUUAUAGCUUAAAAACUUUAUUUAUUCAAUUGGCCUUAAUUUAAUAAUAUACAAUUUAUUUAAAUUUUUUGACAGUUUGUAAUGAUGAUUUCUAAACCACUAUAAAUAAUAUGGUCUUUAACAAGUAAGUUAUGAUAUUUGUUUGGCAUUUAUUUAUAGGUCUAUUAAAAAUUGAUUAAAAAGGAAAAUGAUGAUAGAUCCAUAAAAAAGAAUAAAAAUUCUACUCUUUGUCCUUUGUUCUUGUAAAUGGAGAAUAUAACCAGUUAUAUAUGCUCUAAACAGCUUGGUAAAAAGAACCAAAAGAACUUUAGACGAUGAAGAGUACAAUUAUGAAUUAAUUAUUUCUUUCUUUCUUACACAAAUUGACUUCCUAUCUAUGUUUAGGAGGAGAAAUACCCAUGUCUUCCUAGUUUCUGUAAAUAUUUAGAGUCAAACACAUUCUAAAAGGCAUCUUUAUUCAUAUCACCAGGGGUUAAGUAGAGGUAUUUCCUUAAACAUUUUACAUAUUAUAUAAAUCUACAAGGUGGAAAGUUUAUAGGGAAGUUAUUGAACAAUAGGAGGAUUAUGCGGUAUUUUAAGGAAAUUGCUAUUUACGUUAAAAUCAUUGAAUAACAAAUAUUUCGUCCACAAUCAUAAAUAGAAAAUAUCUGACUUUAACACACAUACUAACAGUAAUUCAAGAUGAUUGCAACUGAUUGAAGAGCAUAUGAAAUGCAUUCUAACAUUCGUCACUUUCUUGAUGGAGUAACUUGUCAACUACGUAGCUCAUUGUUGGUCCUGCAUCUAGGUCUUCCCCUGUGAGUUGGAGAGUAACUCGAACUAGAACUUCAAUAUUUGUCAUAACGUUCAUGGCAAGGUUUGCAAUUUUUGCAAUCACUGUUGGUGAUGUUCUUCCAUUAGUUUCAAGCAUCUUAUCUUUCACCCAUGUGACGUGAUCGACACUGGAGUAAUUAGUGCUAUUCUAUUCUGAGCUAAAGACUUAUUACUAACGUGAUUACGUGGGUAAUUAGUCCUAUUUUAUUAAAAGAUUAUGGCUAACAAACAUUUUUUCAUAAAUUUUAUUAAUUUUUUCAAAAAAUUAGUUGUUAGCAUGUGACGGUACGUGACUAGACUUGGAUAGCAAUUAACAAAAAUCAGUCAAUGGGAUUAAUUGUGCUUAAAAAUUGAAAUACUUGGGACCACAUUUACUUUCAUCUAAACUUUAUGAACUAAAACUGCUCAUGCCCUAAACAUUUGAGAUCAAAACCACAAUUCUUUCUAUUAUUCAACAAUAAGAGGAUUGUUUUGUCAUUUAAAGUAAAUUACUAUUUGCCUUAAAUUCAGAAAGAGAAAUAUUUCUUACUUUAAUAUUUUAUUUACAACAGUAAGGUGGAAACAUAUAAAUUAUAUGAACAUCAAAUAUCUAAUUUUAACACACAGCAAUUUAAGAUGAUCACAACUCAUUGAAAAGUAUGUGAGAUGUAUCCUAAUAUUCAUCACUUUCUUGAUGGAGCAACGUGUCCACCACUUGGCUCAUUGUUGGUCUUGCAUCUUUGUCUUCCUCUACGCAUUGGAGAGCAACUUGAACAAGAAUUUCCACCCUUGCCAUAUCAAAUUCAGCAUUUAUGACAGGGUCUACAAUUUUUGCAAUUGCUAUUGGUGAUGCUCUUCCAUUAGCUUCGUGCAUUUUCUCCUUCACCCACGUAACUAGUCUCCUUGGCUCCAUUGCACUGGUGCUUUCCUCCAUAGAAUGGCCUUCAACUGGGCUUCUUCCGGUUAAUAAUUCCAGCACAACAAUUCCAUAACUAUAAACAUCAACUUUGGAGGUUAUGGGUAGAUUGAAAACCCAUUCAGGGGCCAUGUAGCCUCUAAUUCCCCUUAUCCUAGAAAACGUUGAUUUAUCUGUCCCACCUCUAUUCAAUAGUUUGGACAGGCCAAAAUCUGCCACCUUCGGCUGGUAAUUCGAAUCUAGGAGUAUGUUCUGAGGCUUCACAUCACAGUGCAAAACCCACUCUAAGCACUCUUCAUGCAAGUAAGAAAGUCCUUUGGCUGUACCAAGAGCAAUAUCAUACCUCUUUUUCCAAUCAAGUCUGCCAGAAUGCAAAUUUUUUGCUAGAGAACCAUGCUCCAUGUACUCAUAAACCAAUAGCCUGUGCUUACCUUCAACACAAUAUCCCCAUAUCUCAAUCAAAUUCAUAUGGUUCAACUUGCCAAUAGUACUCAACUCUGCAAGAAAUUCGGCUUCUCCCUGGUUGGCUUCAUUGAGACACUUUAUGGCAGCAACUCGAUUAUCUGUCAACACGCCUUUAUACACAAUGCCUCCCCCUCCUUGUCCUAUUUCUGCGCUGAAGUUUUUUGAUGCUUUUUUCAACUCAGCAAAAGUGAAUUUCCUGAAUCCUGUUGCAACCUGAGUGUAACCCUGUAUUCUUGCACUAGGUCCUCGUCGGGUUUUGAACAAGUAAGUGAAGAAACAGAUGAUCUCAAAAGUCCCAACUGCCAAAGUGCACCGCAAGGAUGACUUUACCCACCCAUGUUGACCUUUUUUCUGGUAUGCUCGGCCGAGUGAAGCAGCAUCGACUGUGCACUUUAUGUUGGUUUGUUGAAGAGGCUUUUGAUCAAAUGAGGUUAUAAUAGAUUGGGGCAAUCUUAGAUAAAUUGGGAAAUCAAAACCACUUGAACGAUACCCAUUGAACAAACUGGCCUUAGGGUAACAAUUAUAAUAGCCUUUAUCUUUAUCAAAUUUGAAUUGGAAGCCUUUACAACUGCAAUAGUUGAGGCAUAAAUUUUGACAAUUAUCAAGCGUGGAAUUACUAAAGAAACCAAUAUCAUAGCCAUAAAAUUCAACAUUUUGGAGAAGAAGAAAACCUGAUGCAUUACUAUCAUUGUAUGGCAGUUGGAAAUCUGGUUCGCAUCCAUAAGCCCAAUCUUUCUGGCUUUUGAUUUUGUAUCCAGGUGCACAAGUGCAUUUUCUUCCGGUCUCAUGGGCGUAAGUGCACAAACUAUUUUCUCCACAUAUCCCAUGAACUGUGCAUGGUUGCAGUGUGGAUUGCCACGUAACUUUCCAAUUCCGACUUGCCAUAUCAAGACUGUAGACCCGGACAUUGCCAUCAAAAUCCACGGUCAAUCUUCUUUGUAUGCCUGGACCAUAAUCAACAGUAAUAAUGUCAAACUGAUCUGAUGACUGGAAUCUCCCCCAUGAAUCAAGAGUGGCAACCUUACUGUUGUUAUAAGGGUACCUCCCGUUGUCCCAACUAUGUUUCCAUGGGUCAGGCCAUGAAAUACCUGCUGUUUGAGGACCCUGGUACAAUAGGCUAAGGACGUUAUCAUCACCAAAGUAUAACUUGUAGAAUCCAGAAGAAUAAUUCGUCAGGCUUCGGGAAGAUAUGAGAACAGAGUUUUGGGUGAGCGACUGCCCUGGAAGAAGCGUGUUUGUUGGGGAGUUAAAGCUUUGCCAAAGAUUUCCGCCCUCUAUAUUGCUCAGCACAAGAUUGCCAUUGUCAUGGAGUUGCAAUUGAAGAGAAGAGUUUGAUUGCGUGCUACUUGUCCAAACAGUAAACUGUCCUGCAUCUGUCAGCACAAGACUGCCAGACUUGAGCAGGGAAAGCCUGGAAUUUUUUCCAUUAACCGGUCGGUCCCUAUUGGCCAUCCAGACAAUGGUGUAAUUUCCAUGAUCAUAUAGCUCAGUAAACCAUAUACUAAAGCAAUACGCAUUCUCGCCAACACUGAAAAAUCCCGCAGUGAAAUUUCCAUGCGGUUUUGAAAUCAGAACAUCUUUAGAAGAAAGUGAUGAUCCUGUAGUCAAACUAUCAGUGCUUUUCGAGGAUGAUACAAAUGCUAAUAACAAAGCUAAAACAGAAAUUAAGAUAGCAUUAAAGAAUAGACCCAUUGGAGUUGGAGAAGUGUAAUUUUGCAAGUACAUGCAUGCAAACUUCUUGUGGACAAACAUGGCAGAAAGUAGAGGAAUAUAUAGAUAGUAUGAGUGGUCUCUCGUAAGACAUGACUUCUUGACUUCUUGUGGUUUGUGGAACUACUUUUUGCAUAUUGGAAGUCAAGCCACUUUGAUAGUAUGAGUGGUAUCUCGUAAGACAUGACUUCUUGACUUCUUGUGGUUUGUGGAAUUACUUGUUGCAGAUUGGAAGUCAAACCACUUUGCUUUUUAAUUUUCUCAGGAGUUUGGCUUUGAUUAGACUGGUGUAGCUGGGAAUCAUCGCUCAAAUGUAAACUAGAGAUGCACACUUCCAGUUAUGGAGAUAAUUUGCUCGAGUUUUUUUUUCCUGUAUACUUACUAGAACUAUGACACUUUAUUUCUUAGAGGCUUGUUAAAAUCCUCAAAUCUGGUGAUAGAGAUAGAACAUACAACGAAAAGCCUAAUAUACACAGAACACUCUCUUUUCGUUUUUCUUUUUUGUCAAUUCCUGAUUUGGACUGGAAACAUUUUCAUAUCCUAGUCACCAGCUCGUCCCCCUCGGUAAGUAUCCUUUCAUUUAAUUGGGUGGUUCAUCCCAACUUCCAUGCAAGUCUCUUUAAACUCCCUUCAUAGACUAAGAAUAAGAGUAAGUUGGAUAAUUGUCAUUACAAACCAACCACUUCUAGAAUAGUUGAUCACUAAAAGAGUUUCAAUGCUCUACUUGGAUGUAAGACAAUGAAUCAAAUCUUUUACCCUACAUUCUAACAUUCAAGCUUUCCUGGAAAUGUUUAUUUAGCAGGUGCAUGGGCGUCCCGUCUAAACUGGGGAUGGUUCACCGGACUCCCCUAAAAAAAAAAUCUAAUUGGGUUGAGGCCGGAGGGGAUUGGGUCACUGGUUUCUCUAUAUGUUUUCAGAAUAAAAAGAAGUAAAUACUGUGUUAACCUUGGGGAGCCCACUACUUACAGCCCAUUUGUCCCCAACAUCUAACCUUUGGUGAUCAAUUAUUAAUGUGAUAAAUUUGCAUCCCCAGCUACCUCAUGUCUAUUGUCCGCAAUAUGUGUCUGUCGGGCAAUCACGUGUCCUUAACUAUGCCCUCCCUUUCUUCACUUCCAAAGAGUUCUCCUUGUAUUGGAAAAAGAAAAAGAUUUAGACCCUCUUUGAUAAUCUAAUGUCACAUUUAAAUUUAAUGAAUUCAAAUUUUAAUAUAUUCAGACUCAUUUGAUAGCAAAUGACACUGAAUUUUCUAGACAAAACUUGCUCUCAAAAUUAAGUGAUAAACUAUUCACUUAUUACUGAAUGUGAUAUAUACUCAAAUAUAUUAGAUUUAACACUUGACAAUUCAAUAAUUCAAUAAAUUCAACUUUCAAAUUUUAAAUUUUAGAUUUCAAACUUCAGUUUUUAAAUUUCAAUUUUAUCAAACGCACCCUUAAUAACCAUUAAUCCCAGAAACCCAACUCCGGUAGGCAACCGUGAGGUCCCGAUUCAGUCUUCCCUUUUUACUUGUAAAGUCUAGAGUUUCUCCUUCAUUCAUGUUACAAAAAAAAAAAAAAAAGGAAAAAAAAGGAGGAAGUUAACAUCCAUUAUUCCGUUUGCAUCUCUCUGAAUUUUCUACAGGUAAUAUUGUACAGCUGCGAGUUCUAGAACUACGAAUGGGAUGCAUCAAUUUUAACCGAAAUUAUUUUGUCUCCCAUAAGGAAGAUUUCAUGGCAUUUGGCCUUCUUUCAGACCUAAAAUUAAGGGGGUAAAAAAAAUUUCAUGGCCUGAAAAUUGAAGCCUAUGCAAUCCUAUCUUAUGCCGACUUUGAUGAGGUCCCAUCGGGUGUUUCACACUUUCUUCGUAAAGAUUUGCGCUUCACUUAAACGUCCUUGGGAAAGGUAAUAGAAUUAGUUUAUUUGAUUCAAUUCUUCGGCAAAAAUACUUCAGGCUAUCCCCUUUCACGCAUUUACGACAUGUAUAUUGAGUAUAAAUUCAUUGAAUUUGACCGAAAUGAAGGAUUGUGGGAUUUUUUUUUUCCUUUUUUUUGUGUGGGAGGGGACGGUUGUGUCCAUGUUGCUUCAUUUUUUCGUUUCUAUAGAUAUCGAGAUUUGACUGAUGUAAUUGAUUUUUUCAAUCGUCAUAACCACAUUAAAAAAUCAGGUCAACAAAAAAUCCCUAUUAUUGCACCCGCCCUCAUUUUCAAUUGAAUCCAUCCAACCCCUAUUGUUGUUGCCUUUUUCUCAAUUAAAGAAUAUCAAGGUUGCAUAGUGUGCUGAACAAUUUCCAGCAAUUCGUUAAUAAAUUUUGUUAUUUUUUAAUAAAAGAACUAAGUUUUUGCCAUGUGAGACGUAUAUGUUGCCAGAAAAGGAUAAAUACGCCCUCGAUGAAAUUAAUGAUUGGGUCGGGAACAUGUAUUGUCGUACAUUGAAACGAAAAAUACGUACCCAGUUAACAAUUUGUGAACACAAAAAAAAAAAAAGUGAGCUAAGUAUGCUCUCAUGUGUUAUUUCUCAAUCGAAAUUAAAAAAAAAAACUUCUUUUAUUCAGUGUUUAUUUGGAUUUCUAUGCUAAGGGCACAUGUCACAUGGUGAGAUCAUAUUUAAUUUCGCUACUUAAAGGGUGAAUUGAACCAAUUGAACAAAUUAGAGAGCAUAGUGAGAAAUCGACAUUCUUGGCGAGGGUAAGUUGCAAUUAACCCAUUGCCGUUUCAAAUAUUCCUCUUAUUAGAAGCAAGUGAUUACUACGAUAUUCCAAUUGCAUCAGCGUAUGAAAAGUCAAUCACAUACUGCACACGCUAAUUGUUCAAAAGUCCUACAUUUUGUCUUCAAACGUUUUACCGAAAUGCAGUUAAUGUGAUAAAUUUGCUUGAGGUUGUCGAAGAUAAGCACAGUUACAAUAUAGACAUAUGAAAAAAAAACACUAUUGAAAACAUAUUAUUACUAAGUACAACAUUCUUUAACAUUUUUCACCAAAAAAAAUGUUAAAUAAAUAAAUAAGUAAUCAAAAAGAUAUUCCUGUUAUAAAUUUUGAUUUAUGCAUCUAUAUCUUUUUUCCGUAUGAUAAAAACAUGUCUUCUUUGUUUAACAAAUUGACUACUGCAUCUAAUUCUUGUUCUCCAUUCACUGCUCAGAGUUUUUCGUCAUCAAUCACCGGACCGCAGCAUCAGAUUUCCCAGUCCCUAAGGGGAGUGCCAUAUUAAAUGAAGCGAAUGAAACAUAUACGAGCUAGUACUUAAAACUAAGUAGAGACAAUUUCCUCAAAGGCUUGAACAGGUCAUGAAUACAGAUUGGUUUCUUGAUAAUUUACACCGGUGAACACGUCAACAGAUGGAUUGCUUUUUCAAUCCAAUCAAAAACGCUUAACGUACGUUUACAUGAAUCACAAAAACAAUUCUACUCAAAACUAAACUUGGGAAAAAAAAUAAAAAAGAAAGGAGGAGGAUCAGAGAAAGGAAUACACAAGAAAUUAAGAUUGGGACGACCAUUCUCAGAUUUACCAGCUUUUUCUAUGAGCAUGAAGCCCAGUUGGUUUUUCUGCUGGUUCACUUAGCACACUCUUAGGAGAAGACGAUCCAGAACUUUUUGGAGAUGCCACUUUGUCAUUCACCAUAUUCUUUUCGCCUAAUCUUCUUACAUAAUCUUUCUUGGUCUUCUUUGUUUCCUCCGAAGUUGAGCUCCUUUGUUUAAUCAUAGGUACUAAAUACCAUCCAAGGGAUGUGCAUAGUAUCGCAAAUGAUCUUCCAUACAUGACCAAGAGCAAUAGAAUCAAGACCAUCAUAACCGGCAUGUACCAACAGGGGCGCCUCAAAUUUUUCAACUUUAAGCUCCAUCUAAUGCUCUUCUUUGCAGGUCUUUGGCUGGAUUCCUCUUUCUGUUGUUGUCGAACUUCUUUAACAACGGUUGAGGUCUCAAUUGCAUGUUUAUCUUCUGAUGGUAAUGAAUUCAUGCGUGACAUCUGCUUUUCUUUAACAUUGCCAACAUGAUUGUUACCAUUUCCUUGCUUCCUGUCCCUGGCCUUCACAACAAUCGGUUUCCAAUCGUUGGAAUUCGAAUAUACAAAACGAACAAAGGAGAUGUCUUCUGAGCCUUUUUGUGUGUAAAUCUUCUGCUUCUUGUCUUCAAGUUCGGCCAAAACUGCAGAGAACUUCUCAAGACCUCGAUUUGCAUAAGGGUUAUUGCUAUCUCUACUUCUACUGGAAUAACUCGUCUUUCUUGAUCUCUUUGGCGUUGAGCACGGGCCGAGAAGUUCAUCGAUAUCAUCUUCAUCUUCUUGACCGCUGAAACUGCCACAAACAAGAGGAGGCAACAUCUGGAAAUGAAGAGGGAAUCAGUGGAGAGAAGGGAUUGUAUACGGGAUUACAGUUAAUAAUCUUGGAUUGAGUAUGGAAGUGAAUUGAAUCUAGAGGGGCAGGGAGAAAUAAAAUGGUAGCAUAUAUAAAGAGGAAGAGCCAGCUGCGAAGACUUGACUAGAUCCAACGGGAAGAGUCAAACUGAAUUGAGGUACAAGAAAAUUAACUCAGUAUUCGCUAUUCGGCGGAAGCUUCUAUAGAGUUUUUGGUGUUUCUUUGACUUCUUGGAUGGGGGUUUAAUAGAAGUAUAGAACUUUACACAAAACCGUAUUGAAAUAUUCCUUGCUGACCAUACAAUUCUUUUUUUGCAUCCAUUAUAAUAAUCAACAGUAUAUGGACAUUAGAAUUUUUAUUAUGUGCUUGUUUAGAUUUAAAUCUAGUGGGCAAGUCUUGGACGAGGGGUUUUGACUUUUGAAAUGGUCCAAAAUCUUGGUUCAUUAAUUAAUGUUGGUAUCACAUGUAAGUUAAACCAGCAAUGACGUGUCACGCCAGGCCGAAAAAAAUAUAAUAAUAAUAAUAAUGUUUGGUACAUUAAAAACUAAUGAUACCACUUCUAGACUGUCUCCGUUCUCCACUGGUCAGUUGGCAAGAGAAGGAGAGGUUAGUUGAUUCAAGAGUGGAUAAUAAUACGAUAAUGUGUGGAUUACAAAUGAGGUGACAAACAGGGGAUAAAGACCUCUUCACUUCCUCUGCAUCCAAUCCAAACCAAGAGGAGCGGCUGCGGAGCAAGAAUGAGGGCUACUAUCUAUUUUAGUGGUGUGUGUUGUGUGAUAAAGUAAUUUUACCAACUUUGCUAAUUUUUGCCAAUUUGAUUCAUUUCUUCUUUUCUUUUUCGGCCAAUUUGAUGUUUAUGCAUAUCGGUUACUGCUAUACAUCUUGUAUACACCCUACCAAGCAUGCAGUCACAAUCGCAAACCAUGUCAUCUUUUUUGUUUUGUUCAGCGGCUGUGCUCAUGAUGAUUAAUGUACUCUUGCUUAAACAAUAAUAUUUUAGUUGCCUGGAGGUCCUUUUUUUUUUUCUCUCUAACCUUGUUUUCCAACGGAAAAGUAUUUAAGAAGCGGGAGAAAGAAUUUGUAUCCAAAUCGUUUAGUACCUAAUUUUUAAUUCUAGCCACUACAUCAUUGCCUUAUCGGCUAGUUGCCUGGAAGUCAAAACAAGCGCACAAACUACACGAGCAAAUUAUUUGGAUGAUCACUAAACUUUUAAAAUUGUUGAAUUUUGACCAUUGAACUAUUAAAAAUCUGGUCUAAAGUUUGGAUAUCAAGCUAUUCUAUUAAAUUUAAUCGUUAAACAUGACAAAUUUGAGUAUUCACACGAUUCACGAGACAAAAGAAAGAGGCAUAAUUAACGAUUAAAUUUGACGAAAUGACUUGAAAUUUAAACUUUAAAUAGUUCAGUGAUCAAAAUCAGACUUUUAAUAGUUUAGUGGUUAAAAUCCAACGAUUCCAAAAGCUCAGUAGUCAUCCGAAUAAUUUGCUCAAACUAAAUUUGUGGGAUCAGAAUACAAACUAAAGUGUAUGGUAAGCUAAAGACCGUAGAAGCCUGGCACAUUUUUUUUUUUCUUUUUCAGUUGCCUGAACGGCAAAGUCACCUCAAAUAUUACUUAAUUCUAAACAUCAUCAAAACUGUGUCAUCAGUUUUGAAAAUAUCAAAAAUCGACAAAUUGGAUGAUUACACCAAUCUUGUGGUAAAUGAAGAAUGUUUUUGUCUUGUCUGUUGCGUUCAUAAAAUGCAAACUUUUUUCUUGGUGUGUCCACUUCAAUGUGUCCCAAUCUUAGCCGCUUGUUUGGAGGUGUACCACUCUUUUCCCUUGAAGCACUUGAGAAAAACCUCUUCUGUCAAAGUUAGUACAGUUUUAUCUGUUUCUUUUAGUUUUUGUUUUUAUUCAUGAUUGGUAAUAGGAAGAAAAAGCUAUGUGUCCAUAUAUUGCAUUGGUGAUUGGACCCAUUAAGAUGAUGAAAAAAAAGUUUUUUUUUUCUUUUUUACUUCUGAAUAUUGUAUUGGGACAAUAAAGGUUGCCUUAGCGUAAUAUGUCUCCUAAAUACAGGCUAACUAAAGCAGAUGAAUGGCAAUAAUUUGGUGAUUUUGUUGUAUGUCAAAUAAUAGCAAUUGUCUUCUCCGUUGAGCCGGAAAUACAUUUCCGGCUCAAGAUAAUUACCUAAAACAUUCCAGAAAGUUAGGGAUUGGAAAAAUUAGAUAAACGUUGGACAACUGAAACAAAACCGAGUUGGCGUGUUAAUCCUUUUGGCUUCAACAUGUAAAAGGUACAAUUCAUUCUAAUCCCCAUAAUUUGCAAGUCUUCGUUGAACAGCGAGAACUAGUAAAGUCCCACAACAUCACCAGUUCGCUUUUCUUGAACGUCGAUUUACGCGUUGGGCCAAGAUUUUUCCCAGGUUACAAAUGCGAAAUAUCUACGUGGUGGGUUACAAUACGUGUUCAUACGUAAUUUUCUGAUUAACAAAACCAUAUUAGUUAUAACUUUCUCACUCAUGCAAACAAAUUAUUUACAUGUAAAAGCCUAGAUUUGAUACUAGCGUAUGUACUCGCUGCCUCCGAUGACGCCGGAUUGUACCUUUCCUUUUUAGUUCCGUCUCAAAAUCCUUGUGCACUAGUAUCGUGGUAUCAGGGCAAAGUGCAUGUUGGCCCGGUUGACCAUCCAUAUAAAUGGAGAUUCUAGAGAACCAUUAUGCCUCAAUAAGAAUUAAUGAAAAGAGAACUCUUUUGACUUGAAUUUGGAAAAAAAAAACUUAUUGUUUGGAUUACCAUUUUUCUCCAAAAAAAUUUUCAAGUUUUCCGUAAACAUAUUUUUCAAUCAUCUUUUUAUUUCAUGUACAUCAAAUAGCUACAGUAUUAUUAUUAUUUUUUUUUACAAAAAUUUCAAAAAGUAGCAGUCCAAAUGAAUUUGUAAAAGUUAAUUUCCAAAGCAAGUAAUCAACAUGCCUUUGGUAAUUGCAUAGGUUUUGGCUUUGAAUCUCAUUAGAUGUGAGCUAUGAAUCUAAUAAUAUGUCCCACAGAAUUCAUGUUAAGAUUAAGGGUGUGUUUGAUCAAAUUACAGUUUGAAAAUUGAAAUUUAAAAUCUGAAAUCUGAAUCCAUUAAGUCAUUGAAUUGUUAAAUACUAAAUAUGACACAUUUGAGUGUACAUCACAUUUGAGUGUACAUCACAUUAAGUGAUAAAGUGGAUAAUUUAUCACUUAUUUUUUAAAAUAAGUUUCGCAUAGGUAAUUAAGUACCAAUUAAUUAAUUCAGAUGUUCUAUUUUUAAUAAUCAAACAUGUCUGAAAAUAUUAAAAUUUGAAUCUAUUAAAUUUAAAUAUUGAACUGAGUUAUUGAACAGGAUCUAACUGUUGCUAAGAUGUUCAGUGAAUCGUAACAUGUUGGUCGUUGGUUAAGUGUAAUCUUAUUACAAAAAAAAAAAAAGAAAAGUAAUCUUACACAGAAAAAUUCGAGUUGUUAGUACAUACCUCAUUUGUAGCAUUAUACAUGAGUUUAGUUUUUGAGUCAAGUUGCAUAAUGCACGGAAGAGCCCUAGUCAUUUAUUGGCUACUGCGUAAAAUAGCUUCCACCAGGUUAUACAGUCUUCUGGCAGCGCUAAAUGCCGGGGGAUGAAAUUUGUUUCGAGGAGUGAAGAAAAUAAAGCCCCUUUGUCUCAUCUGCUAGACUCUCUUAUUUUUAUUACUACAGGCCUCGUCGAGAGUCAUGAGUCAAGAGUCUAUAGUCUUCGUAAACCUCUAAUCAAUACUACUAUCGCUUGUCUCAUUUUUUUUUUUUUUAAUUUUGGGUCAAAAUAUCGCUUGUCUCAUUUAUUGACUAAAAAAAUGUACCGUCGGCGUCGGGGCCGAAGUUUCAAUAUGAUGGGACAAAUAGCGAUGCCAAUUAAUUACUGAAAUGCAGAGACUGAAUUAUCUUUACGGAAUCCUUAAUUAAAAACACUACUUUGUGCUUUUUCCAAAAAAAAAAAGAAAAAGAAAACUCUACUUUGUGUAAGGUCAUAGGCAAAUCAUUCUUUCCAAGUUAUUCUAAUUUAUUCUAGAUGAUAUCUUGGGGAAAAAACAACUAAUCUUUAUAGUUCCCUGUCGUUCUUGCCAUUCUAAGUGAUUAUUUUCUUAAAAUCUUAAUCAGUCAUUUCAACGAAGAAAAGUGUAAAACAUGCAAUUAGUUUCUCUAGCAUUCGGAUAAGAUAGCGGGAAAGUUGUGUAUAAUUAAAAUUAAUAUCCACAUGGACCACAUCCCAUCCAGUUGGUCAAAAUGGCAAGCCACACUAGAUUGUCACGUAGGGCUGCACAAAUCUUUUAGAGUAUUUAUAGCAGUACUUUUUUUUUUUUUUAUCAGUAAUAAUACAUUUGUAUAAUCUACUCUAUCCUAAUCUAGGGGGAGGGGGAGCCUAAGGAGCUUGUGAUAAGGGUUAGUGGGUAUCCAGACCCAACUAAAUCAAGGGAGUGUUAUGGCACAAUCCUUAGAUUUUUUUCGCUACUAGUGAGGUUUGAACCCUCACCAACAAUCCAAGUCCCUUCCUGAUGACCACUGAGCCAUUGCCCGGUGGUUAUUUAUAGCAGUACUUGUCAGUGCUUAAUUUCAGAUAAGACUCAUGAAUUACUUUGGUGCUUUUCUCGGGCAACGAAUAUAUUGAUGGAGUUCUUUCUUUGUUGGCUGGCAAAUUUCAAAGUCUUCAUUCACUGUCCAGGGCUAGGCUUCGUAGUUCUCUAAAACGUCUAGAUGAUUUGGAAAUGUUGCAGCACCUUUCCCUGUUUCUGAUGAUAUCUCUAGCUGUCAUGAACCAUUUAGAUAAUCUUUAUCAUUUGUCACAUGUAAUCUGCUUGCUUCAUCAGUCAUCACUCGACUUUAUUUCCACGUUCCAAGUUCCAACUUCUAGAAUAUCAAGAAAGAAAAAACCACCUUAUUCUGGUCCCAUCAUUUUGGCAUUUUCAAGUUAGAAAGUUUUUGUUUUUCUAAGUUGUAGCAACACUUGUACACAUUUGGCUGAGGGAGGAUAAGUCCCUAACCUUAGAAGCAUGUGAAUCUAAAGUCACAUUUUUUUAGACGUUUAAAACAAAAAGUCUAGAACUUUUUGGCCAGGACAAACAAUGAGAGAGAGAGAGAGAGUACUUGAUGGAUUGCCCAUUUUCUUUCGAAUUAAUCAUACAAUUUGGUUCCACCCAUGAUUAAGAUAUCUGUCAAUUGAAACCCAUGCUAAUAAUAUGGAGUACUCUCUAGUAAAACAACGACAUCACACCUUAGCAGCAUUUCUGGAGUUUUUCUAUUGGAUGAGCACAAUAAUAUUUCCAUUAACUAGGUGGGCGUGCCCGCGCAUCGCGCGGCUGUAUGGUACCUAUGAUUAAAGAAAAUUUUUCAUUAGACAAAAAAUAGUAUAUUUUAGAAAAAAAAUAGUCAUCAAAUAUGACAAAAUUAAUAAUAGUACAUUCUAAUUACAACACACAUUUGUAUACUUUACUUUAUCAAUAUUUUUACAAUUUUACCAUUCCCAAAAGUCCCCUACAGAUAUCAGUUAAAAAUCACCUAAGAGGAGAUAUAAGUUGUUUCAGACAAAGGAAUACCCUUCAAUGGUUAGUUAUAGCAACGUGUUAAUUGCACAAUAUUUUAAUAUAUUUUUAUGUUAAUUGCACAACAAAAGUCACACUUCAAUUAAAUAUGUCUAUAACACCAUUUCAAUAAUUACACAAACACAUAAGCUUAUAUGAGUUGUACUCGAUGCAAAACAGUUGUAAAAUAAUUCCAUAUUCCAAAAAUACUCAAAUGUCUCUAUAAAUCAAAGAUUUAAAUGUACCAAAAUGAGGACAUUUCGGUAAAUAUACCCAAACACAUGCUGCUCUCAGUUGUACCGAAAAUUUAAAAAAAAAACUACAUAGCAUUCCAUAUUCCCAAAAAGCCUCAUCCAUGAGAUUGGAAUUCAAACCCCCUUCGACCACAACUCAUUCUUAUAUCAUUCAUAAUCCAACACCAUAAUUUCAGAGAGUUGGGUCAACAAGUCUACACAGUUUUAGCACCUGUACAACCAAUAAGGGAGAAAGAGAGAUAUUUAUUGCCACUUUUCCCCCAAAAGGAAAAAAUGCAAUUUAUUUCCGUUUGGAUUAGCUAUUUUUGGAGAUAUUUUUGAAAAAUUUUACUAUAGCAGGAUUUUUAGAGUAUAUUUUGCAAUAUUUUUAGAAAAUAUUUUGAAAUAUUUAAGAGUAGUAGAGUUUUUAAAAUAUUUUUUGAAUAUUAAAAAAAAUGUAUACUACUUUUUAGAGUACCUUUUAGAAUGUUUUUUAAAAAUUUUUACAGUAUUUGAAAAACUAAUUUUUGAAAAACUAGUGAAUCCAAACACAUAUGUUUUUGCCGAUUGGUCCCCAUGAUUAAACAAGAAAGUCACGUGUUACCAUUCUGAUUUUUGUGGUUAUACCAAUUCAGUAUAUUGAAACUCGAAUUGGAUUUGAAGGAUUCCAACAAACUCGAUUCUGCAUUUAACAAACUCGAUUCUGCAUCCUUAAAUGCAGAGUCAAGUUCUUCGCCAGUCAACCAACCUAAAUGAUUCGCCGGUCAAAAAUGACUCGGUCGUCCAUGAGAUAUGAGAAGGAAAUACCAGGAGUCUGCUUCUACCACUUCUCAGCCAAAAUCGCCUUGGAUUGGAUGUAUGCGGAGAGGCAACCAAGUUCCCUCAGUCUCUGGACCCGACCAACUCAAGAAAUUGACCUCAGAAUUUGUAGUUUCUUUCAAUAAACAGGGGUAGGUUUAGCGGUCUCCUUUGUGGCAAUCACGUCCAUAGUCCAUACAUGAAUAUUUUCCCUCCUUGCUGCCAUACUAGUUAGUUUUGGCAUUCCUACACAAGAAGACUCUGACCGCUGCUCUUAAUGGUUCUGUAAUUAGCAUUGAUGAUCACAUUGAACAUAACUCAGAAUUGCGAUUUUAAAUAUUAUGUGGUCCAUUCUUUGAUGGACAACUCUGCGUGCAAAUCUUACACAUAUUUCAUCCUUCAUAAUCCGCAUAUACAAGGGGGUCCAUGUUAAGACUAGUUUGCAAAUCCAUGUGUGAUCACCAGAGUUCUGAGAUUUCUGAUUUGAAAGAGCUUCUGUUGCUUUCGUAACAUGCAAAACUAGCAUUGUGCAUCACACCAUCUAAGAACACUUUUGAUACAGAAUGUGCAUAGACUGCAAAGAUCUCUGCACUCUACAACUACACCACCUGAAGUUAGGAUGUUUAACUUUUCGACCGAUGCAUAAAGCAGCUUCAAAAUUCAAAAGCUACAUAUCCACCACUUGAGGGCGUUCGCAUCAUCUGACGAAGUGAAACUGCGACCAUGUAGAAAGUGCAAGCACAUAUAUCGCUCAAGAAAGUGGGUGCAAAAAAGAAAAGGGUUCACCAAAUGCUAAAAUAAGAAAAGAAAAGGGAAACACUUGGAUAUACCAUAUGUUCAGUCAAGGCUAGCAUCAACUGGUUCAGUCUUUGUUGUUGCCAAGAUCUAAAUCUUCAUCAUCCUUCAUGUAUUUCUCCUGCACUGCUGCAACUGUAGCAAGUGUGUUAAGCGAAACCAAUCUAACAACUCCCAAGACACAGAGAAGAAAAUCUGGACUUACACGCACAUAAAGGGAACGGUACUAUUUUGAUGGAUGAAGAGAACCAAAGCGCAUUUACUAUGAAUUGCAAAUAGUUAAAAAACUGUGAAGAAUGUACAGCACACAAAAAGUAUAGAGUUGCAAAUGAUGGUAUGAGAUGGAUAACAGUUCUUUCAAUUUCCUUGGUGGAGGCCGGGAUGUAAAAACCAAAACUAGUUCUGAGACAAGUCAAUUAGAACUGGACAGCCAACCACCCGUCAGCUAGCAACAUCUCCAAUUCAAGUGAUUUUUCAUUCAUUAAUGAUGCAAUAUCCUUUAGGUAACUG